rnacentral:rRNA from 1 species
CCCCACUGCUAUCGGGAUGGGACUAAGACAUGCUAGUCGAGCGUCUCCAAGCUAUGGAAGAGACGCGGCACACAGCUCAGUAACACGUGGCUAACCUGCCCUUGGGACAAGGACAACUCCGGGAAACUGGGGCUAAUCCCUGAUAAGUGAGAACUCCUGGAAUGGAUUCUCGCUCAAAGGACGUUUAGACCAUGCUUCUAGGCGUCGCCCAAGGAGGGGGCCGCGACCGAUCAGGUUGUUGGUGAGGUAACGGCUCACCAAGCCUUUAACCGGUACGGGCCGUGAGAGCGGAAGCCCGGAGAUGGGCACUGAGACAAGGGCCCAGGCCCUACGGGGCGCAGCAGUCGCGAAAACUCCGCAAUACACGAAAGUGUGACGGGGCUAUCCCGAGUGCCAUCCGCUGAGGAUGGCUUUUCCCCAGUGUAUAAAGCUGGGGGAAUAAGGAGAGGGCAAGCCUGGUGUCAGCCGCCGCGGUAAUACCAGCUCUCCGAGUGGUGGGGAUGUUUAUUGGGCCUAAAGCAUUCGUAGCCUGCUUGGCAAGUCCUCCGUUAAAUCCAACGAUUCAAUCGUUGGGCUGCGGGGGAUACUGUCCAGCUAGGGGGCGGGAGAGGCCGACGGUAUCCCCGGGGUAGGGGUGAAAUCCUAUAAUCCCGGGAGGACCACCAGUGGCGAAGGCUGUCGGCUAGAACGCGCUCGACGGUGAGGGAUGAAAGCUGGGGGAGCGAACCGGAUUAGAUACCCGGGUAGUCCCAGCUGUAAACGAUGCAGGCUAGGUGUUGGCGCGGCUACGUGCCGCUCCAGUGCCGCAGGGAAGCCGUUAAGCCUGCCGCCUGGGAAGUACGGCCGCAAGGCUGAAACUUAAAGGAAUUGGCGGGGGAGCACCACAAGGUGUGAAGCUUGCGGUUUAAUUGGAUUCAACGCCGGG